AUAUAUAUAUAUAUAUAUAUAUAUAUAUACUCGGGCUGAAACAAUUAGUCGACAUUAUCGACAACGUCGACGAUAAAAAAAAAAUUGUCGGCAAAUGUUUUUGAGUAACGUUAGUUGUUUGAUCUCGUAUGCCUAAUGUGAAAGCCUCCAAUAAUGCAGUUUGACCAGUGUGGCGCUGUAGCGCAAGAUUGUAAUACACUCUCCUGAUUCAAUUCAAAAGAAGAAGAUAGCACUUCAGUUUGAGCAAACCGAGCCGAUCCGAACCUUGGAUGAAUAUAUUUGUGCAGAAUUUGAGACAUACAGAAUUACCAUAGGCCCAUUAGAAUCAACAGUCUUUGCCAAACUGGAUCCGCACUACAAAACUUAUGAAGAUGUUUGCGUACUGAAGAAGAGUGCUUGGACAAAUACUGAAACCCUCUUGGUGCCCACUACACAGGCAGGGGUGUCCAGACCUGCUCUAGGAAAGCCAGUGUUCUGUGGAGUUUAGCUCUAACUCACCUGCCUGGAACUUCUAACUAAUGAAAUUGAAGUAUCCAAAUGAAGACCCUAGCAGUAUGGAGUAUAUGGUGAGUUCAAGGUUAAUAAAUGAUUUGUUAAAGUUAAUACACAAGAAUUUGAGUUCUCCAUCCUUUUAAAUACUUCUAGGAUACAGACGUUGGCAGCAAUCAGGAGGUGAUCAAGAAGACUUGAGAAUCUAUUUGAAGCUGCAUCAUUGAAGACAGUUCAGCAGAAGUUGGAGUUUUAAAGGAUAAAGUUCUUCAGGACCUAUAGCAGUUUACAGUCUGCAAAACUAUGUUUCUGGGACUGAUAUAUGGACUGAACUUGAGCAACCCUCCUGAACUCAGGUACACAUUUGGAGUACUGAAGAAGUUAUUUCUGGAGCCAGUUCCUGUUCCUGGAAUAAGGUUUGAUUGGUUACCCAUGAAUGCCAAUUAGAAAAUGAGUAGUUUGAUAUUUCUGCUAUUUUGUGU